rnacentral:rRNA from 1 species
UUGGGGUGAAGGGGCGGCCAGUGAGAAUGCAGACACGAGUAGCGAUAAACCGGAUGAGAAUUCCGGUCGCCGUAAACCCAAGGUUUCCUGGGGCAGGUUCGUCCUCCCAGGGUCAGUCGGGAGCUAAGGUGAGGCCGUAGGGCGUAACCGAUGCACAGCAGGUCAACAUUCCUGCACCGGCAGGGGAUUAGGCGACGGGUAACGCAGAGAGAAAAGUGCCUACGUCAUUGAAAGACAGAGCGUAGGCUUCGGCCGAAGCGCAGCACCGGACAAUCUGCCGAGAAAAGCCCGUCGUCGUGCCCCGGCCGCCCGUACCGUAAACCGACACAGGUGGGUGGGUGUAAGUGCACCAAGGCGCGCGAGAGAAACCUCUCUAAGGAACUCGGCACAUUAGCCCCGUAACUUCGGGAGAAGGGGUGCCCCCCUCGGGGGGUCUCAGUAAAUUGCGUUUAGCGACUGUUUAACAAAAACACAGCACUCUGCCAAGUCGUCAAGACGACGUAUAGGGUGUGACACGUGACCAAUGCGGAAAGAUCAAGGUAAGCUGUCAGCCGCAAGGCGAAGCGGCGAACCCAAGUCCCCGUGAAUGUCGGCCGUAACUAUAACGGUCCUAAGGUAGCGAAAUUCCUUGUCGGGUAAGUUCCGACCUGCACGAAUCGUGUAACGACUGAACGACUGUCUCGGAGAGGACCUCGGCGAAACUGUAAUUGCGGUGAAGAUGCCGCAUGCCCGCAGUAGGACGGAAAGACCCUAUGCACCUUCACUGUAAGCUGGCAUUGGGUUUUGAUUAAUGAUGCGUAGCGUAGGUGGGAGACUUUGAACCGCAGGCUUCGGUUUGCGGGGAGUCGCAAUGUGAAACACCACUCUUCGUUAAUUAGAAUUCUAACCCCGACCUGUCAUCCAGGCGGGGGACAGUGCUUGCCGGUCAGUUUGGCUGGGGCGGCUUCCUCCCAAAUGGUAACGGAGGAGCGCGAAGCUCGGCUCAGCACGGUUGGCAACCGUGCGACGAGGGUAUGGCUAGAAGCCGGGUUAACUGUGAGACCAACAAGUCAAGCAGAUGCGAAAGCAGGCCCAAAUGAUCCGAUGGUUUAAUGUGGAAUUGCCAUCGCUCAACGGACAAAAGGUACGCUAGGGAUAACAGGCUGAUCGGGCCCAAGAGUUCAUAUCGACGGCCCGGUUUGGCACCUCGAUGUCGGCUCAUCGCAUCCUGGGGCUGGAGAAGGUCCCAAGGGUCCGGCUGUUCGCCGGUUAAGGCGGUACGCGAGCUGGGUUCAGAACGUCGUGAGACAGUUCGGUCCUUAUCCACUGUGGGCGGAGGAAACUUGAGGGGUUCAUUCCUUAGUACGAGAGGACCGGGAAUGACGCACUUCUGGUGUGGCAGUUGUUCCGUCAGGGGCAUCGCUGCGUAGCCAUGUGCGGAAGGGAUAAGCGCUGAAAGCAUCUAAGUGCCAAGCCCAUCCCAAGAUAAUGUUUCCCUGGUCGCAAGGCCCUAAAGACUCCGGGUAGACCACCCGGUUGAUAGGUCAGGCGUGCAAGCGCUGCAAGGCGCUCAGCGGACUGAUACUAAUACGUCGUGAGGCUUGAUCGU